rnacentral:rRNA from 1 species
AUUGAACGCUUUCCUCCGGCCUCCCCCCUGCACGUCGACCGGUAACAGGAAGCAGCUUCCUGUUUUGCUCACGAGUGGGGUACGUAAUGGCAAGGAAUGGGAAACGGCGUGGUGGAUAACGAUAACGACUGGAAACUAUAGCUGAUACCGCAUAGCGUCACAAGAUGAGGGAUGCUGGCCUUCGGGCCUCUCGGCAUCGCCUGGGCCCAGUUGGGUUGAGCUAGUAGGUGGGGUAACGGCUCACCUAGGCGACGAUCUGUAGCUGGUCUGAGAGGAUGAUCAGCCACACUGGAACUGAGACACGGUCCAGACUCCUACGGGAGGCAGCAGUGGGGAAUAUUGGACAAUGGGCGCAAGCCUGAUGCAGCCAUGCCGCGUGUAUGAAGAAGGUCUUCGGAUUGUAAAGUACUUUAAGUGGGGAGGAAGGGAAUUAAGUUAAUACCUUGCUGCAUUGACGUUACCAACAGAAGAAGCACCGGCUAACUUCGUG